UAACAGGUGCAAGAAUUAUCUUUUUAAAGAAAACUUCAGAAUGAAAAGAAAUUGGUCCUCAGGCUUCUGGUUCUGACGUCUGGAAUGACUUCCGUAAGAAAAGGAAACUGAGCUCAACCUGUGCAAGGACAGGACAGUGAAGAGCCUAGCAGUCAGGUUCCCCAGCUGAUCCUGCCCUCCCCAAACCCGCGCUCAGCGUUCUACUCCGUGACACCAAUGUUUCAGACCAGAGGACCUGUGCUUCCUUCAUCAAAGAACACCUGUCAGUAUCACGUGGCCAUGUCACCUGUCACAUGGUUAGCUCCUGACAAAGGGGCUUAGAGAACUCAGGUCUCCGGAUUCCCAGAUUGGAGCUCCUGUUCCUCCCACAAGGCUCCCCAAGGCCCAUCUUCCUCGGCAAUCCAGCGACUUUGGUACUCACAACCCUGGGUGACCAAGAAAUCCCACUUGCGAUGGACACUCAUCGUGUGGCCUUCAGGGGCCUUGACUCACUCCCCUGACCAUCCUUUGUGUCCUUGACUCCUGGCCGCUCAGCAGCGGCUCAGUCCUCUUUUGUGCAUUUAUUACUGUCAGUCUGUGAGAGCAAGCAGGAAGUUUCCAUGCCCCAAGCUCUCGGAGGCCGGCCUUCUCAGCUGACAGCGCCCUGGGCCAGCCUACCCCAGUCACAGCGAUCCCAGAGGAGGGCUGGAGGAGGUGGCUUUCGAGUGUCAGGGCAGUGGCCAAGGCCAAGUCUCAUGACAUUACGUGUGUACACAAGACACUAUCUCAUGGACAGUGCAGCUGACCCUUGAACCCCCCGUGCAAUGCGGACCAUUGUCCCUACUCCUCAGUGAGGAAGCUGAGGUCCUGAAAGGUCUGAUGAUUCACCCAAGGUCAGGAGUUAGCAGGAGUCAGGGGGAGGGCAGGAAACCAACACUUUCCAUUUCAAGGGCAGGACAGUGAAGAGCCUAGCAGUCAGGUUCCCCAGCUGAUCCUGCCCUCCCCAAACCCGCGCUCAGCGUUCUACUCCGUGACACCAAUGUUUCAGACCAGAGGACCCGUGCUUCCUUUAUCUGGACCCCUACCAAAGAACACCUGUCAGCGGUCCCCACACAGGAAAUGCCACCACAAAUAAAGAAAAAGCAGGAAGUGGUUUGUGCUGGCUGUGACCUGGAGAAAUCACACAACCUCGCUGUGCCCCGACUGCCCCAUCUGGACAAGGGGUUGCAUGACAGUCCUCUGACCCGAAACUGCAGGGAUGAAGUCAGAGAAUGUGUGUGAACACACAGACUGGACUGACUUGGGGGUUAAAUAAAUGUCAGCUUCUGCUUCCCUCUUCAGUGCAAAGGAGCCACCCUACCGAUCCAUAAACCUUCCGGGUCAGGGGUCAGGGAUGCACCAGAGGGCUCGGUGAAGACCAGGAGAGCAGGCUGUAGCCUGAGUGGG